UACGUAGGGUGCGAACGUUGUCCGGAAUUAUUGGGCGUAAAGAGCUCGUAGGCGGUGUGUCACGUCGGCCGUGAAAACCUGCAGCUUAACUGUGGGCGUGCGGUCGAUACGGGCAUCACUGGAGUUCGGCAGGGGAGACUGGAAUUCCUGGUGUAGCGGUGAAAUGCGCAGAUAUCAGGAGGAACACCGGUGGCGAAGGCGGGUCUCUGGGCCGUAACUGGACGCUGGAGGAGCGAAAGCGUGGGGAGCGAACAGGG
rnacentral:rRNA from 1 species